rnacentral:lncRNA from 1 species
CAGGCCAGCGGAGGUCCCACGCGGAAAGGCGCCGCUUCCCCUCCGCACGGGGCGCGAGGGCAGUGAUCAGAGCGCUCAGCUGGCAGCUGGGGCGGACCCCACAAACGCCCUCACACGGAGGAAGGGGUGUGUUGCGUCCGCGGGGGUGCUGGAAGAGUCCUGCAAGGAACAGCCCACCGUGGUGGGGAAAUCAAAACCUAAGGGUCAAGAGCAGGUCGCCCCUACAACACCCGCCUGGGUGGCACCCCCUUUUCACCCUGCGCCUCAGCUCCUUUCUCUGCCUCGUCCUCAAAUUCUCAGACAUAGCCAGCUGAACCCCCUCUGCCCUGUUGCUGCUGCUGGCAAGAAGGUUUCGGCCUUGAAGUCCAGCUAUCCUGGAGGCUGAGGCAGGAGGAUCGCAACUUUGAGGCCCACCUGGGUAACAUAUCAGGACACCUCCCCCAAAAGGGCAGGGGUUAUAGCGCGGUCAAUGCUGGAUUUAAGUCCUUAGAAUGAAGGAAAGAAGGAAGAUGCCUGAAUGUAGGUCCCAGAGACAGCUCCGCGUUAAGCCCUUGAGGCUGGGCUGCAGUGGAAGUAGGGAAGGUCUCCCGGGGAGGGGUGCUGAAGGAUGCAUAGGAGUUCUUCACCCAAGCAAGACAAAAGCGGCAGAAGGAGCCCCGGUGGUCACAACCUCUGAUCAAGGAAGAGGUGCCAUUAGUGAUGGGAGACAGCUGAGGAACGGGCUGAGCACGGGACUGGGGUGCAGCUCAGCGCUUGCCAAGCAUAUGCGAUCCUAGGUUCAUCCCCAGCACCCCCCCCCAAAAAAAACCCUAAAAGUAGGCAAAGCACAGGCUCGGUUUGGAGGUUGCUCUGGUGAGUGUAAGAAGGGAAGCCCCCACACCGCAAGCUUUUCUGGAGGUUAGGAUGCCUGCAGGGGGCGCCAACGAGCACACCUGGGGGCAGGGGCUGCUAGGCGCUGAUCACGCCAGCGCCGCAGCUCCAUGCGAACCCGGCACAGCUCCUGGCGGAUGGAACCUCAUUACAGACUAAAGCUGCCUGUGUCCCCACUGCUGGGGGAGCACCCAGAGCUGCGGGGAAAGGAGCAGGCAUGGUGUGCAGCCAGGACUCCCACCUCUGCCUCUUCGAAGGCCUCGGGAAAGUGCCUCAAUGGUCUAAACCUUCGUUUCCUGCCCUAUAAAGUGGGACUAAAAACAGGGCCCAAGCCGGGCGUGGCGGUGCACGUCCGACAUCCCAGCACUCAGGAGGCUGAGGCAGAAGGGUCGCGAGAAUCGAAAGCCAGUUUGUGCUACAAAGCGAGACCCUGCCCCCCCUCCGCGAUCGCGAGCGAAAAAGCGCCCAGCCCUAGACUGCCUAGCUCCGAGAGCAGGUCCGCAAGAAGGAUUUGGUCACCAGACAAGACCCGGCGGGACUGA